UCAUGCGACCUUGUCAGCCGUCUGGUCAUGCGACCUUGUCAGCCGUCUGGUCAUGUGACCUUGUCAGCCGUCUGGUCAUGUGACCUUGUCAGCCGUCUGGUCAUGCGACCUUGUCAGCCGUCUGGUCAUGCGACCUUGUCAGCCGUCUGGUCAUGCGACCUUGUCAGCCGUCUGGUCAUGCGACCUUGUCAGCCGUCUGGUCAUGCGACCUUGUCAGCCGUCUGGUCAUGCGACCUUGUCAGCCGUCUGGUCAUGUGACCUUGUCAGCCGUCUGGUCAUGUGACCUUGUCAGCCGUCUGGUCAUGUGACCUUGUCAGCCGUCUGGUCAUGUGACCUUGUCAGCCGUCUGGUCAUGUGACCUUGUCAGCCGUCUGGUCAUGUGACCUUGUCACCUGUGUGGUCAUGUGACCUUGUCAGCUGUCUGGUCAUGUGACCUUGUCAGCUGUCUGGUCAUGUGACCUUGUCAGCUGUCUGGUCAUGUGACCUUGUCAGCUGUGUGGUCAUGUGACCUUUUCCGAGCCAAAAAAAUCAAUUGAUGCUAUUUCUUCUUAGUUUGCUUUGUAUUUUCAUGGAAGUGUCCUCGGUCCUAAAGACUCCCUGAGGACACCUCAGUGUCUCAUUACAUAUCUUCUCAUGGAACAUUCUAGAGGAAUGAAACAUGAGUACAGGGCUUCUCAAACUCAGGAAAAAAACUCGCCAAGUAACACCUCAGAAAACACCUGUCUUUGCAAGUACUUCCAUGAUGACCGAUGUUGAAAUACAAUAGUGUAGUAGACCUAAGUAUUCAUUAAGUACCACCAUAAUGACAACAUUAAAUACAGUAGUGUAGUAGACCUAAGUAUUCAUUAAGUACCACCAUAAUGACAACAUUAAAUACAGUAGUGUAGUAGACCUAAGUACUCAUUAAGUACCACCAUAAUGACAACAUUAAAUGCAGUAGUGUAGUAGACCUAAGUAUUCAUUAAGUACCAGCAUAAUGACAACAUUAAAUACAGUAGUGUAGUAGGCCUAAGUAUUCAUUAAGUACCACCAUAAUGACAACAUUAAAUACAGUAGUGUAGUAGACCUAAAUAUUCAUUAAGUACCACCAUAAUGACAACAUUAAAUACAGUAAUGUAGUAGACCUAAGUAUUCAAUUAGUACCACUAUAAUGACAACAUUAAAUACAGUAGUGUAGUAGACCUAAGUAUUCAUCAAGUACCACCAUAAUGACAACAUUAAAUACAGUAGUGUAGUAGACCUAAGUAUUCAUUAAGUACCACCAUAAUGACAACAUUAAAUACAGUAGUGUAGUAGACCUAAAUAUUCAUUAAGUACCACCAUAAUGACCCACAUUAAAUACAGUAUUGUAGUAGACCUAAGUAUUCAUUAAGUACCACCAUAAUGAUAACAUUAAAUACAGUAGUGUAGUAGACCUAAGUAUUCAUUAAAAACAAGGCAGAUGUUUUAUUUGAAAAGUAUAUUUAAUAUUUUUGGCCACUGUAACAUUACAAAGUUUGAAUAGUAACAAGUUUAUACGUAUGAAAAUAAAACACUGUACUUUAAUAAUGAACUAGAUUACAUUGCAAUGUUUAAUUUUGUGAUUAUUUGGUAUAUGUAUGUAUAUAUGUGCAUAUAUACACAAAGGUAGCUUCUUCUUUUUUUUGUUUGUGUACAUUUAUCUGUAUAUACAGAUAAAUGUACACAUAUUUAUAUACACACACAUUUAUACAUGUAUGUUUAUACAUAUACAUAUGUGUAUGCGUGUGUAUAUAUGUAUGUAUGUUUUAUAUAUAUAUAUAUAUAAAUGUGUAUAUUUGUAUGGAUGUAUAUAUAUAUAAUAUAAACAUAUAUAUACAUACACAUAUAUGUAUAGAUAUGUAUUUUAAUGUAUGUAUAUAUAUAUAUAUAUAUAUGAAUAUGCAUGUGUAUACGUGUAUAUGUUUAUAUAUAUAUACACAUAUGUAUACAUGUAUGUAUAUACAUACACACACAUAUAUAUAUAUAUAUGUAAUAUAUAUGUAUGUAUAUAUAUAUAUUCGGUUGCCUAAAUCAAGACAGUCUUAAACUGUGGUACUAGUAUGCGAGCGCCAUCUAGUAAUACGCUAAAUAAUUUUUCGAUUAAAGUACAGUAGUUUAAUUUCAAAUAUUCAAACACAGUGUUACUGUUCAAAAUCUGUGUAAUGCAGCCGGAACAUUAAAUGUAUUUGAUAAAUAAAACACCUGCCUUGUUUUUAAUGAAUACUUAGGUCUACUACACUACUGUAUUUUAAUGUUGUCAUUAUGGUGGUACUUAAUGAGUACUUAGGACUGCUACGCUACUGUAUUUCAAUGUUGUUAUUAUGGUGGUACUUAAUGAAUACUUAGGUCUACUACACUACUGUAUUUAAUGUUGUCAUUAUGGUGGUACUUAAUGAAUACUUAGGUCUACUACACUACUGUAUUUAAUGUAGUCAUUAUGGUGGUACUUAAUGAAUACUUAGGUCUACUACACUACUGCAUUUAAUGUUGUCAUUAUGUGGUACUUAAUGAAUACUUAGGUCUACUACGCUACUGUAGUUUAUUGUCAUUAUGGUGGUACCUAAUGAAUACUUAGGUCUACUACGCUACUGUAGUUUAUUAUUGUCAUCAUGGGGAUACUUAGAGAGUGCAGUGUUUUCUGAGGUUGUACUUAGUUUAACAAGUUUGAGAGUCAAUGAUCUAGAUCACACUUUUGUAUGGCAGAGAAAAUGAGGUCCAUGUUUUAUUUGUGUGCUGCAUGUCAACAACAUGACCAGAGGCCAAAGGUUGGAGAGCACGAUUACAUCAAUGUGGAGGGAAAUGAGUGUCUCCAUGGUAACAGCCGGUACACGCCCCCAAAAAAACCUCAUUCAAAUAUGACGCUCUGCACCACUUUUGCACUUGUCAAUUGUGCCUGCGGUCUUAGGGGAUCACCUGCAGCGCGUCCACUGACAGUACGCACAGUUUUACAGUUUGCACAUGCAGUUUAGCACGUGCUAUUUGGAUCUUUUUUUUUUUUUUUUUUGCUAUUUGGAUCUUAGUCGAUCAGACCCCAAAAAUUGCAUGUUGCUCUUUUCAGUGAUCACUGUGGGCCCCUCCCCCGCCUCUCAAGACACUUCUUGUCAUAUUCUCAAAGGGAAAACUGCACUUUUAUGGGAAUUUUGUCUAUCGUUCACAUUUAUUAGGAAAGACAAGAACACACAUGACUUUUUUUUUAGGAUUCUAAAGACGAUAAACUCUUGGAAGAUGCGGGACCCACUCCAUUAACCUUUUGUACACACACUGCAAGUAUAUAUAUAUAUAAUGUAGUAACAGACACUUUCAUAACAAUAUGUAAUAUGUACAAUAUACACACUGCAAGUAUAUAUAUAAUGUAUUAACAGACACUUUCAUAACAAUAUGUACAAUAUACACACUGCAAGUAUAGUAGUGUAGUAACAGACACCUUCAUAACAAUAUGUAAUAUGUACAAUAUACACACUGCAAGUAUAUAUAUAAUGUAGUAACAGACACUUUCAUAACAAUAUGUAAUAUGUACAAUAUACACACUGCAAGUACAUAUAUAUAAUGUAACAGACACUUUCAUAACAAUAUGUACAAUAUACACACUGCAAGUAUAGUAGUGUAGUAACAGACACCUUCAUAACAAUAUGUAAUAUGUACAAUAUACACACUGCAAGUAUAUAUAUAUAAUGUAGUAACAGACACUUUCAUAACAAUAUGUAAUAUGUACAAUAGACACACUGCAAGUAUAUAAAUAAUGUAGUAACAGACACUUUCAUAACAAUAUGUAAUAUAUACAAUAUACACACUACAAGUAUAGAUAUAUAAUGUAGUAACAGACAAUUUCAUAACAAUAUGUAAUAUGUACAAUAUACACACUAAGUAUAUAUAUAAUGUAGUAACAGACACUUUCAUAACAAUUUGUAAUAUGUACAAUAUACACACUGCAAGUAUAUAUAUAUAAUGUAGUAACAGACACUUUCAUAACAAUAUGUAAUAUGUACAAUAGACACACUGCAAGUAUAUAAAUAAUGUAGUAACAGACACUUUCAUAACAAUAUGUAAUAUAUACAAUAUACACACUACAAAUAUAGAUAUAUAAUGUAGUAACAGACAAUUUCAUAACAAUAUGUAAUAUGUACAAUAUACACACUAAGUAUAUAUAUAAUGUAGUAACAGACACUUUCAUAACAAUUUGUAAUAUGUACAAUAUACACACUGCAAGUACAUAUAUACAAUGUAGUAACAGACACCUUCAUAACAAUAUGUAAUAUGUACAAUAUACACACUGCAAUUAUAUAUAUAUAUAUAUAAUGUAGUAACAGACACUUUCAUAACAAUAUGUAAUAUGUACAAUAUACACACUGCAAGUACAUGUAUACAAUGUAGUAACAGACACUUUCAUAACAAUAUGUAAUAUGUACAAUAUACACACUGCAAGUACAUAUAUACAAUGUAGUAACAGACACCUUCAUAACAAUAUGUAAUAUGUACAAUAUACAAACUGCAAUUAUAUAUAUAUAUAUAAUGUAGUAACAGACACUUUCAUAACAAUAUGUAAUAUGUACAAUAUACACACUGCAAGUAUAUAUAAAUAAUGUAGUAACAGACACCUUCAUAACAAUAUGUAAUAUGUACAAUAUACACACUGCAAUUAUAUAUAUAUAAUGUAGUAACAGACACUUUCAAAACAAUAUGUAAUAUGUACAUUAUACACACUAAGUAUAUAUAUAAUGUAGUAACAGACACUUUCAUAACAAUAUGUAAUAUGUACAAUAUACACACUGCAAGUAUAUAUAAAUAAUGUAGUAACAGACACCUUCAGAACAAUAUGUAAUAUAUACAAUAUACACACUGCAAGUAUAUAUAUAUAUAAUGUAGAAACACACACUUUCAUAACAAUAUGUAAUAUGUACAAUAUACACACUGCAAGUAUAGUAGUGUAGUAACAGACACCUUCAUAACAAUAUGUAAUAUGUACAAUAUACACACUGCAAGUAUAUAUAUAAUGUAGUAACAGACACUUUCAUAACAAUAUGUAAUAUGGACAAUAUUUACCAUAUUUUGAUUAUUUUAUGCACAGCCGGAACUACUUCUUUAGCGCAAUCAUUUCCAUUUCCAUAGCAGCACACAUCCGACUUCCUGCAACAAAUGUGUUCCUACUCCCGGAAACAAACGCAAGUGUGUUUCCUAAUCACGGCAGACUCUUGGCAACAGCCGACGAAGACGACUAUUUUUGGACAAAUGAGGAUUCACAACCUUGUGUUUUUGAAGCUGAAUAUACUGAGGAUGAAGUGCUGCUUAUAGACACGAGCAUAGAAACGUUUGAGCAGUUGCUACAGUUUGUUAUUAUACAGAUUACACAACGUCAAUGAAGUAUUGUUGACAUUUUUGAACGCAUUUUUAAAGUGAUUUAGAGGUAGAAUUGAUUGCUGCCAUUAGCUUCCUACCAAGAACGAGACAAUUUCUAUAUGUUAGAAAGCGGGAAUAAAAAGUUUGUCUUCUCGUCUCUCAAAGUAAUCGUGGACAGACAAAAUUCCCCCCCAAAAAAGUGCAGUUCCACUUUAAGAUAAGCAUACAAACGAAGUUUCCUUUGUAGUUCUGGGUUUGUUUUGUUGUUGUUUUUACUCACGUUUGACGAUGAUGUCACACUGGAAGCUGCCACAAGUAGAUCGCAGUCCUGUGGGAAAGACUGCAGCCUUGUUGGAACUAGCGGAGAGUUGAACCCCGACUUGUGACGGACUCUACUUUGCAUAAAUAGUCAUGGGUUUAAAUGCUAAUAAUAAGGAAUCUCCGUUCUAACUACUUGUAGAUAUUUACUUAUUUUGUUUUUAUCGGGAUUGUAGCAAGUGUUACUCCUUACAUCCUCCCAAGAUGUGACUUGCCAAGAAUGUGAAGAACAUGUGGACGUAGUUCUCCACUCGGUCACUGCCGACUUUUGAUUUUUGUCCUUCUUUUUUCGUUUACGUUGCAUCUCUGGUCACGUCCUUCCUCGCAGUUCAAGUUUCUUGUUUGGUUCCUUUUUACACAAAAGUUGCUCAAUAAAAUGUGUGGAUGUA